rnacentral:rRNA from 1 species
CCUACGUGAGGCAGCAGUGAGGAAUAUUGGUCAAUGGGCUUACGCCUGAACCAGCCAAGUCGCGUGAGGGAAGACUGCCCUAUGGGUUGUAAACCUCUUUUGUCAGGGAGCAACGCCGGCUACGUGUAGCCGGACUGAGAGUACCUGAAGAAAAAGCAUCGGCUAACUCCGUGCCAGCAGCCGCGGUAAUACGGAGGAUGCGAGCGUUAUCCGGAUUUAUUGGGUUUAAAGGGUGCGUAGGCGGAAUGCCAAGUCAGCGGUAAAAUCGCGGGGCUCAACCUCGCUCCGCCGUUGAAACUGGCGUUCUUGAGUGGGCGAGAAGUAUGCGGAAGGCGUGGUGUAGCGGUGAAAUGCAUAGAUAUCACGCAGAACUCCGAUUGCGAAGGCAGCAUACCGGCGCCCAACUGACGCUGAAGCACGAAAGCGUGGGUAUCGAACAGGAUUAGAUACCCGAGUAGUC